rnacentral:rRNA from 1 species
GAGAAAGUCCGCUUCGGUGGAUGAGUAAAGUGGCGCACGGGUGAGUAACGCGUGGAUAAUCUACCCUUAAGUCGGGAAUAACUUAUCGAAAGGUGAAUUAAUACCCGAUAACACUGCAUAACUACUGUUGUGUAGUCAAAGAAGGCCUCUGCUUGCAAGCUUUCGCUGAAGGAUGAGUCCGCGUACCAUUAGCUAGUUGGUAGGGUAAUGGCCUACCAAGGUUAUGAUGGUUAGCUGGUCUGAGAGGAUGAUCAGCCACACUGGAACUGAAACACGGUCCAGACCCCUACGGGAGGCAGCAGUGAGGAAUAUUGCGCAAUGGGGGCAACCCUGACGCAGCCAUGCCGCGUGAGUGAGGAAGGUUUUCGGAUUGUAAAGCUCUGUCGAGCGGAAAGAAAUGCAUGAUGGCUAAUAUCCAUCAUGCUUGACGGUACCGCUAAAGGAAGCACCGGCUAACUCCGUGCCAGCAGCCGCGGUAAUACGGGGGGUGCAAGCGUUGUUCGGAAUUACUGGGCGUAAAGGGCGUGUAGGUGGCUAAUUAAGUUAGGUGUGAAAGCCUUCCGCUUAACGGGAGAAGUGCACUUAAAACUGAUUAGCUAGAGUACGAGAGAGGAAGGUGGAAUUCCUGGUGUAGAGGUGAAAUUCAUAGAUAUCGGGAAGAACACCGGUGGCGAAGGCGGCCUUCUGGCUCGAUACUGACGCUGAAACGCGAAAGCGUGGGGAGCAAACAGGAUUAGAUACCCUGGUAGUCCACGCCGUAAACGUUGGGCACUAGGUGCGGGGGACAUUCCACGUUUUCCGCGCC